GACGAACGCUGGCGGCGUGCUUAACACAUGCAAGUCGAACGAAGUGGCGAACGGGUGAGUAACGCGUAAUCAACCUGCCCUUCAGAGGGGGACAACAGUUGGAAACGACUGCUAAAAACGCAUACUGAAGGAGGGGAUUGCGUCUGAUUAGCGGGUUGGAGGGGUACCGGCCCACCAAGGCGAUGAUCAGUAGCCGGUCGGAUCGGAGUAACGGCCACAUUUGGACUGGGACACGGCCCAGACUCCUACGGGAGGCAUCAGUGGGGAAUCUUCCGCAAUUGACGAAAGUCUGACUGAGCAACGCCGCGUGAGUGAUGACGGCCUUCGGGUUGUAAAGCUCUUUUAAUCGGGACGCGGUACCGGAAUAGAAAGCCACGGCUAACUACGUGCCAGCAGCCGCGGUAAUAC
rnacentral:rRNA from 1 species